rnacentral:rRNA from 1 species
UACAGAGGCCUCGAGCGUUAGGCGGAAUCACUGGGCUUAAAGCGUGUGUAGGCGGACUUCUAAGUGCCUUGUGAAAUCCCACGGCUCACCCGUGGAACUGCUGGGCAUACUGGGAGUCUUGAGCCACCUAGGGGCGAGCGGAACAAAUGGUGGAGCGGUGAAAUGCGUAGAUAUCAUUUGGAACGCCAACGGAGAAAUCAGCUCGCUGGGGGUGUGCUGACGCUGAGACACGAAAGCCAGGGGAGCGAACAGG